rnacentral:rRNA from 1 species
AACAGGAUUAGAUACCCUGGUAGUCCAUGCCGUAAACGUUGGGCACUAGGUGUGGGGGACAUUCCACGUUUUCCGCGCCGUAGCUAACGCAUUAAGUGCCCCGCCUGGGGAGUACGGCCGCAAGGCUAAAACUCAAAGGAAUUGACGGGGGCCCGCACAAGCGGCGGAGCAUGCGGAUUAAUUCGAUGCAACGCGAAGAACCUUACCAAGGCUUGACAUGGACCGGACCGCUGCAGAGAUGUAGCCUCCCUUCGGGGCUGGUUCACAGGUGGUGCAUGGUUGUCGUCAGCUCGUGUCGUGAGAUGUUGGGUUAAGUCCCGCAACGAGCGCAACCCUUGUCCUAUGUUGCCAGCACGUAAAGGUGGGGACUCAUGGGAGACUGCCGGGGUCAACUCGGAGGAAGGUGGGGAUGACGUCAAAUCAUCAUGCCCCUUAUGUCUUGGGCUUCACGCAUGCUACAAUGGCCGGUACAGUGGGUUGCGAUACUGUGAGGUGGAGCUAAUCCCUAAAAGCCGGUCUCAGUUCGGAUCGAAGUCUGCAACUCGACUUCGUGAAGUUGGAGUCGCUAGUAAUCGCAGAUCAGCAACGCUGCGGUGAAUACGUUCCCGGGCCUUGUACACACCGCCCGUCAAGUCACGAAAGUUGGUAACACCCGAAGCCCAUGGCCCAACCCUUGUGGAGGGAAUGGUCGAAGGUGGGACUAGCGAUUGGGACUAAGUCGUAACAAGGUAACC